rnacentral:lncRNA from 1 species
UAUAAAAUUCCCAGGAACAAUGUAUUUUACAUGAAAGUGCAUUCCAUUUCAAUGUGCUAUCUGCUCAAGGGGGAGUAUUAUAGCUGCUCUGUGAGACUGCCUGAAGUACAACAUACUUUGAGGGAUAAUUAGCACAUUUCCAGCUCUCUGUUAACCACUCAGGACACCAGAACCAAACCUCUAUGGAAUUAUGGAAUUUUUGGACACUAGAACCUAUCAUACUGUAUUCAUAGUUCUGUCCUUCAUUUUAUGUAUUAAAAAGUGAGUGGAUCAAGUGCUUUAUCUGGAAUCAUCAAGACCUGAAUUCAAAUCCAGCUUUAGACACUGUAUGAUCUUGAGCAAGUUACUUAAACUGUUUACCUCAAUUUUUUCAUCUGUUAAAUGGAGUAUUAAUAGCACCAAUCUACC